rnacentral:rRNA from 1 species
GUGGGGAAUUUUGGACAAUGGGCGCAAGCCUGAUCCAGCAAUGCCGCGUGCAGGAAGAAGGCCUUCGGGUUGUAAACUGCUUUUGUACGGAACGAAACGGUCUGGGUUAAUACCCUGGGCUAAUGACGGUACCGUAAGAAUAAGCACCGGCUAACUACGUGCCAGCAGCCGCGGUAAUACGUAGGGUGCAAGCGUUAAUCGGAAUUACUGGGCGUAAAGCGUGCGCAGGCGGUUUUGUAAGACAGGCGUGAAAUCCCCGGGCUCAACCUGGGAAUGGCGCUUGUGACUGCAAGGCUGGAGUGCGGCAGAGGGGGAUGGAAUUCCGCGUGUAGCAGUGAAAUGCGUAGAUAUGCGGAGGAACACCGAUGGCGAAGGCAAUCCCCUGGGCCUGCACUGACGCUCAUGCACGAAAGCGUGGGGAGCAAACAGGAUUAGAAACCCUAGUAGUCC